rnacentral:rRNA from 1 species
CCGAGUAUAUGCGCCCCUGAUAAAGCACUGAUACUAACCACCGUAAGCUGUUGUGAUUGACCCUUUGGGGUUAACAUGGUGGCAAGCCGUGGGGCCUGAUGUGUGGUUCAAGCGAUGGGGUGACACAGUGGGGUAGCCAUGCCGCUUAGUGGAUUGUUGGUGUAAGCGUGUAGGUGAUGGUGUAGGUAAAUCCGCACUUGUUAUGCUGAGACGUGAUGCGUAGCCUUAAUUGGUGAAGUUGGUGAUCCCGUGCUGUCGAGAAAAGCCUCUAGCGAUGUAUAUACUCGGCCCGUACCCCAAACCGACACAGGUAGUCAGGUUGAAAAUACUAAGGCGUUCGGGUGAACUGUGGUUAAGGAACUCGGCAAAAUGCCCCCGUAACUUCGGGAGAAGGGGGACCCUAUGGCGUGAACACCCAUUUGCGGUGGGAAGCGUUGUGGGGUCGCAGAGAAUAGAGGGAAGCGACUGUUUAUCAAAAACACAGGUCCAUGCGAAGACGUUAAGUUGAUGUAUAUGGACUGACGCCUGCCCGGUGCUGGAAGGUUAAGAGGACCGGUUAAUCAAGCUUUGCUUGGUGAAGCUGAGAAUUUAAGCCCCAGUAAACGGCGGUGGUAACUAUAACCAUCCUAAGGUAGCGAAAUUCCUUGUCGGGUAAGUUCCGACCUGCACGAAUGGCGUAACGACUUCCCUGCUGUCUCAACCACAGGCCCGGUGAAAUUGCACUACGAGUAAAGAUGCUCGUUACGCGCGGCAGGACGAAAAGACCCCGGGACCUUCACUAUAGCUUGGUAUUGGUGUUCGGUUCGGUUUGUGUAGGAUAGGUGGGAGACUAUGAGACGUGUGCGCCAGCACGCGUGGAGUCGUUGUUGAAAUACCACUCUGAUCGGAUUGGAUACCUUAACCUUGGCCCAUGAUCUGGGUUGGGGACAGUGCCUGGUGGGUAGUUUAACUGGGGCGGUUGCCUCCCAAAAUGUAACGGAGGCGCCCAAAGGUUCCCUCAGCCUGGUUGGCAAUCAGGUGGUGAGUGUAAGUGCACAAGGGAGCUUGACUGUGAGAGUGACAGCUCGAACAGGGACGAAAGUCGGGACUAGUGAUCCGGCACCUACUUGUGGAUGUGGUGUCGCUCAACGGAUAAAAGGUACCCCGGGGAUAACAGGCUGAUCUUCCCCAAGAGUCCAUAUCGACGGGAUGGUUUGGCACCUCGAUGUCGGCUCGUCGCAUCCUGGGGCUGGAGUAGGUCCCAAGGGUUGGGCUGUUCGCCCAUUAAAGCGGCACGCGAGCUGGGUUCAGAACGUCGUGAGACAGUUCGGUCUCUAUCCGCCGCGCGCGUUGAAACUUGAAGAAGGCUGUCCCUAGUACGAGAGGACCGGGACGGACGUACCUCUAG